rnacentral:rRNA from 1 species
AAAUUGAAGAGUUUGAUCAUGGCUCAGAUUGAACGCUGGCGGCAGGCCUAACACAUGCAAGUCGAACGGUAACAGGAAGCAGCUUGCUGCUUUGCUGACGAGUGGCGGACGGGUGAGUAAUGUCUGGGAAACUGCCUGAUGGAGGGGGAUAACUACUGGAAACGGUAGCUAAUACCGCAUAACGUCGCAAGACCAAAG